rnacentral:rRNA from 1 species
UACGAAGGGGGCUAGCGUUGCUCGGAAUCACUGGGCGUAAAGGGUGCGUAGGCGGUCGGGUAAGUCUGACGUGAAAUCUUCAAGCUCAACUUGGAAACUGCGUCCGAUACUAUUCGGCUAGAGGAAUGGAGGGGAGACUGGAAUACUUGGUGUAGCAGUGAAAUGCGUAGAUAUCAAGUGGAACACCAGUGGCGAAGGCGAGUCUCUGGACAUUUCCUGACGCUGAGGCACGAAAGCCAGGGGAGCAAACGGG